rnacentral:rRNA from 1 species
ACUCAAAGGAAUAGACGGGGGCCCGCACAAGCAGCGGAGCAUGUGGUUUAAUUCGAUGCAACGCGAAGAACCUUACCUGGGCUUGACAUGUUGGUGACCGCCGUGGAAACACGGUUUUCCUUCGGGACACCAUCACAGGUGGUGCAUGGCUGUCGUCAGCUCGUGUCGUGAGAUGUUGGGUUAAGUCCCGCAACGAGCGCAACCCGCGUCCUGUGUUGCCAGCAUUAAGUUGGGGACUCACAGGAGACUGCCGGUGACAAACCGGAGGAAGGUGCGGACGACGUCAAGUCAUCAUGCCCCUUAUGUCCAGGGCUACACACGUGCUACAUUGGCGCAUACAAAGGGUUGCGAUACCGUGAGGUGGAGCGAAUCCCAGAAAAUGCGUCUCGGUUCGGAUUGGAGGCUGCAACUCGCCUCCAUGAAGUUGGAGUUGCUAGUAAUCGCGGAUCAGCCAUGCCGCGGUGAAUACGUUCCCGGGCCUUGUACACACCGCCCGU